rnacentral:misc_RNA from 1 species
UCCGGUUUGUCACCGGCAGUCUGGCGUGAGUCCCCAACUUAAUGCUGGCAACACGCCACGGGGGUUGCGCUCGUUGCGGGACUUAACCCAACAUCUCACGACACGAGCUGACGACAGCCAUGCAGCACCUGUGGUGCACCCUCGAAGGUCACACGUUUCCGUGCGCUUGCAGCACCAUGUCAAGCCCAGGUAAGGUUCUUCGCGUUGCAUCGAAUUAAAGAACAUGCUCCGCUGCUUGUGCGGGCCCCCGUCAAUUCUUUUGAGUUUUAGCCUUGCGGCCGUACUCCCCAGGCGGAACACUUAACGCGUUGGCUGCGGCACAGGAGGAAGGUGGGGAUGACGUGUAACCGAAU